AGAAUCAACGCUGGCGGCGUGCCUAACACAUGCAAGUCGAACGCGAAAGGGGCGCAAGCCCUGAGUAGAGUGGCAAACGGGUGAGUAACACGUGGGUGACCUGCCUUCGAGUGGGGGAUAACGUUCCGAAAGGAACGCUAAUACCGCAUGACAUCCUGCGUUUGGAGACGCGGAGAUCAAAGCUGGGGAUCGCAAGACCUGGCGCUGGGAGAGGGGCCCGCGGGCUGAUUAGCUAGUUGGUGGGGUAAUGGCUCACCAAGGCGACGAUCAGUA
rnacentral:rRNA from 1 species